rnacentral:rRNA from 1 species
UACGUAGGAGGCAAGCGUUGUCCGGAAUUACUGGGCGUAAAGCGCGUGUAGGUGGUGGGACAAGUCUGCUGUGAAAGCGCCUGGCUUAACCGGGCGAGGUCGGCGGAAACUGUUCGACUCGAGGACGGUAGAGGGGGGUGGAAUUCCCGGUGUAGUGGUGAAAUGCGUAGAGAUCGGGAGGAACACCAGUGGCGAAGGCGACUACCUGGCCUGUUCUUGACGCUGAGGCGCGAAAGCUAGGGGAGCAAACGGG